rnacentral:piRNA from 1 species
AUCUCAAGCGCGAGAGAACAAACA